UUCCGGGUCGUUACAGAUUGGUAUCAGAGCAUAGGGCCUCUAGAGUACGAUGUGCUGAGUCAGUAUACUCAGGGAUCAGAGAUAUCUCACAUCGGAAAGAGGUUAAGAUGUCAGAGUUUUAGAUCUUUCGAGUACGGUGUGUUGAGCGAAGAUGCUCAAGGUCAGAUUUCCACAUCGGAAAGAGGUGUUGUCUUGUAUAGGAGGGGAAGCACAAUAGGU
rnacentral:lncRNA from 1 species